rnacentral:rRNA from 1 species
GGGACCUUCGGGCCUUGCGCUAUCAGAUGAGCCUAGGUCGGAUUAGCUAGUUGGUGAGGUAAUGGCUCACCAAGGCGACGAUCCGUAACUGGUCUGAGAGGAUGAUCAGUCACACUGGAACCGAGACACGGUCCAGACUCCUACGGGAGGCAGCAGUGGGGAAUAUUGGACAAUGGGCGAAAGCCUGAUCCAGCCAAGGCGCGUGUGUGAAGAAGGUCUUCGGAUGUAAAUCACAUGGGUUGGGAGGAAGGGCAG